rnacentral:rRNA from 1 species
GACGAACGCUGGCGGCGCGCCUAACACAUGCAAGUCGAACGAGCGAGAGAGAGCUUGCUUUCUCGAGCGAGUGGCGAACGGGUGAGUAACGCGUGAGGAACCUGCCUCAAAGAGGGGGACAACAGUUGGAAACGACUGCUAAUACCGCAUAAGCCCACGGUGCCGCAUGGCACAGAGGGAAAAGGAGCAAUCCGCUUUGAGAUGGCCUCGCGUCCGAUUAGCUAGUUGGUGAGGUAACGGCCCACCAAGGCAACGAUCGGUAGCCGGACUGAGAGGUUGAACGGCCACAUUGGGACUGAGACACGGCCCAGACUCCUACGGGAGGCAGCAGUGGGGAAUAUUGCACAAUGGGGGAAACCCUGAUGCAGCGACGCCGCGUGGAGGAAGAAGGUCUUCGGAUUGUAAACUCCUGUUGUUGGGGAAGAUAAUGACGGUACC